UGGGGAAUCUUAGACAAUGGGCGCAAGCCUGAUCUAGCCAUGCCGCGUGAGUGAUGAAGGCCCUAGGGUCGUAAAGCUCUUUCACCUGUGAAGAUAAUGACGGUAGCAGGAAAAGAAACCCCGGCUAACUCCGUGCCAGCAGCCGCGGUAAUACGGAGGGGGUUAGCGUUGUUCGGAAUUACUGGGCGUAAAGCGUACGUAGGCGGAUUAGUAAGUUAGAGGUGAAAUCCCGGGGCUCAACCCCGGAACUGCCUUUAAAACUGCUAGUCUUGAGUUCGAGAGAGGUGAGUGGAAUUCCAAGUGUAGAGGUGAAAUUCGUAGAUAUUUGGAGGAACACCAGUGGCGAAGGCGGCUCACUGGCUCGAUACUGACGCUGAGGUACGAAAGUGUGGGGAGCAAACAGGAUUAGAUACCCUGGUAGUCCACACCGUAAACGAUGAAUGCCAGACGUCGGGUAGCAUGCUGCUCGGUGUCACACCUA
rnacentral:rRNA from 1 species